rnacentral:lncRNA from 1 species
AUGCUUGUCCCUUGGGGUCUAAGGGGGAUGCUUGUCCCUUGGGGUCAGGGAGUCGGGUGGGUGCCAAGGCUUGAAUUCCCUCGGGUGCCCUCAAUCCAGCCCUGUUUCAUGAGUUCUUCAGGGCAGAUUGCUGGUGGGGCGAGAGGUUUGCUCUCUGCCACCCCCUCCAAGCGAUGCUGCAGCUCGGGGCAAUGGCAGCUUUGUGCUGAGCGUGGCAGGAUUGGGCCCCCCCACCCCUUCUCCCCGUUGCUCCGGGAGCCCCCUGGUGCUGGUUCCGGCUCUGACCCAACAAUCCGGGGGUGCCGGCGGUGCCAGGGGCUGCCCCGGGGCAGGGUGCCCAGGAUGAUCGUGUCCCUGUGGCUGGCGUACAUCGCGGCACGGAAAGGCACCGGCGUGUACAUCCCCACCGACAGCGCACCGGAUGGCCCCGUGGUGGAGGUGGACGCGUUGGCCACGGGUGAAGAGCUGCUCUCCAGGCUGUUCCAGAGGGUGCUGGAAAUCUGGGCAGAGCCCCGGGCAGAGCCCCAGGGGGAGCCCCGGGCGGAGCCCCAGGCAGAGCCUGCAGCGGCUCCCCCAGCCUCCCAGCAAGCCGGUGGUCCAAGCCCCCAGGGUGAUGCUGACCGUGGGGUGCAGGCACCCGGGCAGGUCCUUGUGGAGGACAGGAUGAAGGUCCAGUACUUGAGGUGGAGCCAGACCCGUGUCCAUCACGUCUUGAGCCUGCUGGAGGGUGAUCUGGUGGAGGACAGGAAGGAGCAAACUGAAAACGGCGUGUCCCAGGUGCUGCUCCAAGGCAUGCCGGACACCGUGAUGGAGGCCGUGAUGGAGGCCGUGACGGACACCGGGAUGGACUCCGUGAUGGACCCCAUGAUGGACCCCGUGAUGGACUCCACGCUGGACACCAAGAGCCAGGUCCAGCUUCCCAGCGAGGACUAGGAGGUCGCCGCUCUCCCCGCUCCCCUUCCCUGGCUGCAUUUGGACCUUUUUGUCACCUCCGCGGUGCUGGCUUGCCCAGAUGUGGCUCCCCCACCAAAAAAAAUAAAAGGCUGCGUGCACCGGCUGGGCUGCGCCUG